GCCAGGAUCGGUCUAUACAUACCUAUAGUUCCAAGUACUAGGAGGCUGAGGCGGGGGCAUCACUUGAGGCCAGUUCUGGCCUGUAAGGUACUGGGCCAAUAGGGUGUGCAGAUUAAGUUCAGCAUCAAAACGGAGACCUCCCAGAGCAAGGGACCACCAGGUUGCCUAAGGAGGGGUGACUAGGCCUAGGUCAAAAACUGAACAGGUCUAAACUCCCAUGCUGAUCAGUAGUGGAGUCAGGCCUGUGAAUGGCCACUGCACUCCAGCCUGGACAAUAUAGCAAGACCCCAUCUCUU
rfam:Otolemur garnettii contig003207, whole genome shotgun sequence.